rnacentral:tRNA from 4 species
GCUGGCUUAGCUCAACUGGUAGAGCAACUGACUUGUAAUCAGUAGGUUGGGAGUUCAAUUCUUCUAGCCAGCACCA